CCGAGAGACGAGGCCCCAGCGGUCUCACUCUUCCACCGUGCAUAAUCGACCUUUGUUGCUUUGGCGGGCUGUCGGCCUGGCCCCCGACGCUGCUCUCGGGCCGGGCCCGGCGCUUCGGCGCCCUCCCGCCUAAAGCCCCAUGAAACUCUUGUACCGGUGUUGUCCGAGUCCAUAUCGAAUAUAUAAAACUUUCAACAACGGAUCUCUUGGUUCUGGCAUCGAUGAAGAACGCAGCGAAAUGCGAUAAGUAAUGUGAAUUGCAGAAUUCAGUGAAUCAUCGAAUCUUUGAACGCACAUUGCGCCCUCUGGUAUUCCGGGGGGCAUGCCUGUUCGAGCGUCAUUGCAACCUCAAGCAUUCUGCUUGGUAUUGGGUCUCGCCCCUGUGGCGGGCCCGAAAUCCGGUGACGGUCCGCGGGGACUCCGGGCGUAGUAAGAUUUUUCAAUCCCGCCUUGGCAGCUCCUGAGCGCGUCCGGUCAAACCGCCCCAUCGUAUUUUCCACGAUUGACCUCGGAUCAGGUAGGGAUACCCGCUGAACUUAA
rnacentral:rRNA from 1 species